ACCCUCUCACCAAACCCACGUCCAACUGACCAUGAACUUCACUGUAACUGUAAGACCGACAAAAGAAUCGUUUCACCCAAAUUGCAGCAUGAAAACACAUGUAUUCGUUUGGAAUUUUUUCCUUAUAUUUUUACCCAAAUCAUUUCACACAAAUCUCAUGUACUUUAGGUCUUUAUAUCUGUUCUUCAGUAAGUGUUGCAACCAAAUGUACUCUUUUUUUUUAUAGAUAAAAAGAUAGAUUACUGACAAAAGGUUGCUAGGGUAUCAUCCUCCCACACUUGAGGACUUUGAGAUCUUACACCAACUAGGCAUAGUCUGUGUAGAUCAGAUGAGGUACCAAGCUUAAUAGUUUUACAUAGAACUUGUUCAAAAGAGUUUAGGCUCAAAAUUAAAUUAUCUAGUCUUUCAUUAGUCCUCCAGCUUGUGUUCCUGGCUCCGCCUUGCAUAACUUUGAUGAUGUUUUUGUUACUUCCCAAUAAGUUGAAAACUCUGCAAUUGGGUUGAGAGGCCUAAUCCAGAGCUUCUUGAGCAGCUAGGCAUUCUCCCUCUUCUCUUCCAUGAACCUUGAUCCCUCUGGUUUUCCUGCCAAUGGUGUCUCCUGCUGGACCUGAUCGUUCUUGGUUUCCAAAUGUACUCUGAUCUAAUCAAGGAGGCUCCUAUUCCAGCAUCAGCAGAAACGAGCACCAAGAAAGCUGCAAAAAAAUUCAGCAGUCUUGAGAGAGGAAAAAGUGUUGAAGUAACAAUACCGGAUGAGGUACUGGACCCUUUAGCUGAGAAGCUCCUACAACAACGGUAAGUUCCUUUAUCGUUCCAGCCACAAUGAAGAAACAGGUCCACGUUAGGCAUUGUAUUAGCCCUUUCUUGUCCUCACUAAAUGUGAGACUAUGUGUUUGUGCAACGAAAAUUAUGUGUCGGUUGACCACUUGAGCAGCAGAUGUUGACUCACUUUGUUUAAAUGCAAUCUGUUCAAUAUGGUAAUUCUAAUUGCUCAUGAAGAGAAAGAGUGUAUUUCGACGCAUGUAUCAUGUUUAGAACUACUUUUAAGUACUCAUUUUCAUUUUCAUUUUCA